AUUGAACGCUGGCGGCAGGCCUCACACAUGCAAGUCGAGCGGAGCGGCGGACGGGUGAGUAAUGCCUAGGAAUCUGCCUGGUAGUGGGGGAUAACGUCCGGAAACGGGCGCUAAUACCGCAUACUAUCAGAUGAGCCUAGGUCGGAUUAGCUAGUUGGUGGGUUAAAGGCCUACCAAGGCGACGAUCCGUAACUGGUCUGAGAGGAUGAUCAGUCAAAAUGGAACUUAGACAAGGGCCAGACUCCUACGGGAGGCAGCAGUGGGGAAUAUGGGACAAUGGGCUAAAGCCUGAUCCAGCCAUGACGCGUGUGUGAAGAAGGUCUUCGGAUUGUAAAGCACUUUAAGUUGGGAGUCGUUACAAACAGAAUAAGCCCCGGCUAACUUCGUGCCAGCAGCGGCGGCAAUUC
rnacentral:rRNA from 1 species